rnacentral:rRNA from 1 species
GUGGAUUAGAUACCCGGGUAGUCCACGCUGUAAACGAUGAGCACUAGGUGUCGCGGGUAUUGACCCCUGCGGUGCCGCCGCUAACGCAUUAAGUGCUCCGCCUGGGGACUACGGCCGCAAGGUUAAAACUCAAAGGAAUUGACGGGGGCCCGCACAAGCGGUGGAGCAUGUGGUUCAAUUCGACGCAACGCGAAGAACCUUACCUGGGCUAGACAACGAUGGACCGCCCCAGAGAUGGGGCUUUCCCUUCGGGGACCAUCGGUUCAGGUGCUGCAUGGUCGUCGUCAACU